GGCAAUACUAUUUAACCGACUCAUUUUAACUAUUCUUCUGCUGGAAACCAUUUGACUUCGACCAUGGACAGGAUUGUGACGACGGGAUUGUUUGUUUUAUGUUUUGUGUAUUAUGCUAGCUCUAUGGGACAUCACGGUGUAAUGCCAUAUAAAGCAGCACCAUCUCCUUAUGACCCACCAG